CACAGACUGAGUGGCUUAUCCCACCAUUCUAGCAAGAUGAAAGUCCAGAAGAAAGCUAUAGGAUCCUGGUAUCUUACACCAGGCCACAGUUGACAAGCUACAGUGGCAAUGAGGGACUUGAUGCAGGAAUGAAGAAACGCUGCAGCUGAGCCGGUACCCACUCCUGCUCUCACCAGUACCCUGGCAGGUGCCACUGACAAGCCACAGCUGCCUCUGCUGCAGCCAGCGGAACUCACUCCCUAGUCAAAGCACUACCCUGCUGGGAGAAUCUCAAGAGC
rnacentral:lncRNA from 1 species